AUUCUGCGAAGAGUUCCUUUAGCCAACGCUCCUGCAAGGGCCACACGUGCCCCCUCGGCAUCCAGGUUGACGAAUGGGAGAGGUGGAAGGAACUGGCUGGCCCUGCGGUGUGAGCUGGUGCUGGUCGGCUGCAGCCGAGGGUGUGCAGGCGAGGCCGCCAACCGCACAGAAGGAGCAACGCGGUGUCAGAGCCCUGGGAGCGUGACCAUUUCUCACCCGCGGGCCUUCCUGGCAACUCCAGCUCCUCGGCUUUGAUCGCCUCGCAAAGUCUCUGUUCAUUGAAGGGGACAUCAGAUUCAAAUGCUGAGACACCAGCACUGGAAGGAUGAGAUGGAUGAUUAAAACCCUGGGUUUGUCAGGCCAAAUCCUGACAUCAUUGGUAUUAGUGACAAGAGACACAUUUGGAAAGAAAGUCAUGCACAUUCUGGAGAAAACAAGCUCUACUCCCCUCACAAAGUGACUGCAAUAAAUCCAAAAAGGAAAUCUGUUCGACUGUCCCCCGGGUCGAGACAUGUGGCGCCCGAACAGGGACCCUGAGUAUGAAAGAUUCAGUGAAGAGCACCCAAGAAAGGACGGCAGAGAAUCGUCCAGGAGGGGACAGCAGAGAAUUGUCCCGAGAAAGGCCACAGAGGAGGACAGCAGAGAAUCAAACCGUCUCCAGAUGACCCUGAAGAGCCUGAAGAGUUGUAA